rnacentral:rRNA from 1 species
AUGCAGCCCAAAUCGGGCGGUAAAYUCCGUCCAAGGCUAAAUAUAGGCGAGAGACCGAUAGCAAACAAGUACCGCGAGGGAAAGAUGAAAAGGACUUUGAAAAGAGAUUCAAAGAGUGCUUGAAAUUGUCGGGAGGGAAGCGGAUGGGGSCCGGCGAUGCSCYUCGKUMACAUGUGGAACGKUCAAAGCCGGUCCGCCGAUUGGCUCGAGGCGCGGAUCGACGCGGAUUCGGGCGGCGGCCUAAGCCCGGGCUGUUGAUAUGCCUGUGGGGAUGUCGUCGCCCUGAUCAUGGUAGGCAGCGCGCGCCGCAGGGCGUGCUUCGGCACCUGCGCGCUCCUGGCGUCGGCCUGUGGGCUCCCCAUUCGACC